rnacentral:rRNA from 1 species
CCUACGGGAGGCAGCAGUGAGGAAUAUUGGUCAAUGGACGAGAGUCUGAACCAGCCAAGUAGCGUGAAGGAUGACGGCCCUAUGGGUUGUAAACUUCUUUUAUAAAGGAAUAAAACGAGGCACGUGUGCCUUUUUGCAUGUACUUUAUGAAUAAGGAUCGGCUAACUCCGUGCCAGCAGCCGCGGUAAUACGGAGGAUCCGAGCGUUAUCCGGAUUUAUUGGGUUUAAAGGGAGCGUAGAUGGGUUGUUAAGUCAGUUGUGAAAGUUUGCGGCUCAACCGUAAAAUUGCAAUUGAUACUGGUAGUCUUGAGUACAGUAGAGGUAGGCGGAAUGCGUGGUGUAGCGGUGAAAUGCUUAGAUAUCACGAAGAACCCCGAUUGCGAAGGCAGCUUACUAAACUGUGACUGACAUUGAUGCUCGAAAGUGUGGGUAUCAAACAGGAUUAGAUACCCUUGUAGUC